ensembl:snRNA U6 U6 spliceosomal RNA
GUGCUUGCUUCAGCAGCACAUAUAUUAAACUGGAAAGAUACAGGGAAGAUUAGCACGGCCCCAGCACAAGGAUGACCUGCAAAUGUGUGAAGCUCCCAUAUUAAAAAAAAUUUUU